rnacentral:tRNA from 1 species
CCUUCGAUAGCUCAGUUGGUAGAGCGGUGGACUGUAGUGAGUUAAGCGAAAUGUAGACAUCCAUAGGUCGCUGGUUCAAAUCCGGCUCGAAGGA